UACGUAGGGGGGCAAGCGUUGUCCGGAAUCAUUGGGCGUAAAGCGCGUGUAGGCGGCUCGGUAAGUCUGCUGUGAAAGUCCAGGGCUCAACCCUGGGAUGCCGGUGGAUACUGUCGAGCUCGAGUCCGGAAGAGGCGAGUGGAAUUCCUGGUGUAGCGGUGAAAUGCGCAGAUAUCAGGAGGAACACCAAUGGCGAAGGCAGCUCGCUGGGACGUGACUGACGCUAG
rnacentral:rRNA from 1 species